rnacentral:tRNA from 1 species
GCUGAGGAUAUAGGUAAGGUGGUAGAGUUCUUGUCUGUUAUGCACAAGGUCCUGGGUUCAACUCCCAGCACAGCA